UACGGAGGGUGCAAGCGUUAUCCGGAUUCACUGGGUUUAAAGGGUGCGUAGGAGGGCAGGUAAGUCAGUGGUGAAAUCCCCGAGCUUAGCUUGGGAACUGCCGUUGAUACUAUCUGUCUUGAAUGUUGUGGAGGUAAGCGGAAUAUGUCAUGUAGCGGUGAAAUGCUUAGAUAUGACAUAGAACACCAAUUGCGAAGGCAGCUUGCUACACAAUUAUUGACUCUGAUGCACGAAAGCGUGGGGAUCAAACAGG
rnacentral:rRNA from 1 species